AAGACCAUACUUACAAGGAUCGUUUUUAUACUUAGUUCCUAGAGAAGUUUCUCUGAUCGUGUAGAGCACCCAAAACCAUGAGAUAGAUCCAGAGCAUCCUAUCCUUAGCGUGAACCGGUACAACGUGUUACUUCUGCAACUGCCCUUUGCCACUGAGGAUCAUUCUUCUCUUCCGUGGAAGAAGUAGAGGGAGAGAAUACAGUCUGUGUAG
rnacentral:snoRNA from 1 species